GGAAUGGAGAAGCAAACAACUUGGCUUAAGAGAGAAGAAGUGGCCAUGAUCCCCCUCAUUAGUCGCAGCUGGAAAAUAGUAUAUAAGAGGGACAGUUAAAACACAGCGUUACCAGAAGCAAAGCAUGUUUUAUUUUGGGCUGAAGUUAUCUUGGUUGGUGUCCUUCUAACAGACUGUUUUUCCUGUAUCUCCUUGAAGUU